UACGUAGGGGGCAAGCGUUGUUCGGAAUUACUGGGCGUAAAGGGCUCGUAGGUGGCCAACUAAGUCAUACGUGAAAUCCCUCGGCUUAACCGGGGAACUGCGUCUGAUACUGGAUGGCUUGAGGUUGGGAGAGGGAUGCGGAAUUCCAGGUGUAGCGGUGAAAUGCGUAGAUAUCUGGAGGAACACCGGUGGCGAAGGCGGCAUCCUGGACCAAUUCUGACACUGAGGAGCGAAAGCCAGGGGAGCAAACGGG
rnacentral:rRNA from 1 species